ACUCAAAGCGUGAUGUAGGAAAUUUUCACAGGCGUCAAGGUGGUCCUGCCCGGGUCAAUUCUGGUCACGACUAAAGGCUGAAAUUAGGCGCCCUCUUUUGUGAAGCUAAUCUUCCUAAUAUUGGAAUAGUUUGAUUAAUCAAGUAUUCAGGUAUUUGCCAGUGUAGAUUUAUGCUAUGCUUUAGUUUGGCCACGCACUUGUUUAAUCUGUUGACUAAUACCAUUAUGGCAGGUUGUGUGUUAAUGCCAGGAAAUAUGAUGUGACAAUAUCUACAUUUUACUACUGUAGUAGCUGACUUGGAUAUCAGUAAUCUUGUUGCUAUUUGUAAC
rnacentral:lncRNA from 1 species